UGCAGAGGGUGCAAGCGUUAAUCGGAAUUACUGGGCGUAAAGCGUGCGUAGACGGUUAUUUAAGUCAGGUGUGAAAGCCCCGGGCUCAACCUGGGAAUUGCAUUUGAGACUGAAUAGCUAGGGUGCGGAAGAGGGAAGCGGAAUUUCCGGUGUAGCGGUGAAAUGCGUAGAUAUCGGAAGGAACACCAGUGGCGAAAGCGGCUUCCUGGUCCAGCACCGACGUUCAGGCACGAAAGCGUGGGGAGCAAACAGG
rnacentral:rRNA from 1 species